UCCACGAUAUCGAAAGAACACGUUCGCACAACUUUUACACGACAAACAGCUGAUUUCCGUUCCACUAAAAUCUAUCAGAACGAAAAUUUGCACGAAAAUCAAAGCGAACGAAAACGUAAGCAUUUCAGUGUAAUUUUGCGUUCCACUAUCUUUUUUCUUUCGUACGCAUGCGAACACAAAUGUCAAAAUCAGUCACUUGUGUGUUUGCUAUCGUAUAAUAACAAUUGAGGAAAAUUGUUUUAACAUAAACAUUGCUUGAUUGAAAAUGGAAACAAAAAUCACGAAAAAAUCAUCAACUAAACAGCUGCGGGCACUAGUUGAAUAAUGGAGGAGAAUCCUGUGUUCGCCAGAGGAAUGCCAAUUUUUGGAAGCAGCAGAAGAAGUUUUAAAUCGGGGCGGAUUUGGGUAGUUCUGCAACCGGGCACCCACUUCUCUUCCAUCAUAUCCAAAAGAGCCCGAAAACUUCCUUCGACACACGAAAGUUGGCCACAAACCUAGAAAAAAUAAUUUUUUAUUAUUUCAAAAAUGUAAAAAUACAAUCAUACUUACUGGUUGUUAGGUACUUCAAAUAAAUUCGAAGCAUCUCUUAAAUUCCUCCGUG